rnacentral:lncRNA from 1 species
GAGGACUCCGCGCAGCGCGGAGCAGGAGCUGCGCCGAGCCCAGCGAGGAAAGAGCGCCGCGCAGCCCCGCCGCAGAAGGAAGGAGUGAAGUACUGAACCCUUCCAGUGUACCAAGCUUAAUUGCCUACAUCACCUUCAUGCACGGGUACUCUCUCAGUCCCCACUUCAGAGGUGAAGAAACCAUGGGACAGAGGGGACAGUGACUUGCCCAAGGUCACACAGCAGGAAGAGCUUGGCCCGGGGCUUGCAGGGACCUAGCCGGAGCUGACCUGUGGCAGACCAUCAGGGUGACCUUCAACCGCAAAGCUGCUGUCCACGUGGACUGGGGCUCAGAUCGUGCGCCCAUCCGCCAGGACCCCCACAUCCAAACUCCGAGACAUGGCGACCAAUGGCAGCAAGGUGGCGCCGGGGGCAGAUCUCCACAGAAGUCAGUGAGGACCCCCUUGGCCAAGCGACAAGCCCAAAACCCUGGUGGUCAAGGUGCAGAAGAAGGCCGGGGACCUUCCCGAUCGAGAUACAUGGAAGGGCCGCUUCGACUUCCUCAUGUCCUGUGUGGGCCUACGCCAUUGGCCUGGGCAAUGUCCGGGAGGUUCCCCUACCUCUGUGGGAAGAAUGGCGGGGGGGCCUUCCUGAUCCCCUACUUCCUGGCGCUCAUCUUUGCGGGGUCCCGCUCUUUCAUGCUGGAGUGCUCCCCUGGGCCAGUACACGUCCAUCGGGGGGCUUGGGUGUGUGGAAGCUGGCCCCCCCAUGUUCAAGG